UACGUAGGUGGCGAGCGUUGUCCGGAUUUACUGGGCGUAAAGAGCGAGCAGGCGGUCGUACAAGUCGCGUGUGAAAGCCCCCGGCUCAACUGGGGAGGGUCACGCGAUACUGUUCGACUCGAAGGCAGGAGAGGGUAGUGGAAUUCCCGGUGUAGUGGUGAAAUGCGUAGAUAUCGGGAGGAACACCAGUGGCGAAGGCGACUACCUGGCCUGUUCUUGACGCUGAGGCGCGAAAGCUAGGGUAGCAAACGGG
rnacentral:rRNA from 1 species